rnacentral:rRNA from 1 species
GGGCGCAGCCUGAUCCAGCAAUGCCGCGUGCAGGACGAAGGCCUUCGGGUUGUAAACUGCUUUUGUACGGAACGAAACGGCUUUCACUAAUACUGGAGGCUAAUGACGGUACCGUAAGAAUAAGCACCGGCUAACUACGUGCCAGCAGCCGCGGUAAUACGUAGGGUGCAAGCGUUAAUCGGAAUUACUGGGCGUAAAGCGUGCGCAGGCGGUUAUGUAAGACAGAUGUGAAAUCCCCGGGCUUAACCUGGGAACUGCAUUUGUGACUGCAUGGCUGGAGUUGGGCAGAGGG